rnacentral:rRNA from 1 species
UAGUGGCGAACGGGUGAGUAACACGUGGGCAAUCUGCCCUUCACUCUGGGACAAGCCCUGGAAACGGGGUCUAAUACCGGAUAAUACUUUCUCCUGCAUGGGNGAGGGUUGAAAGCUCCGGCGGUGAAGGAUGAGCCCGCGGCCUAUCAGCUUGUUGGUGGGGUGAUGGCCUACCAAGGCGACGACGGGUAGCCGGCCUGAGAGGGCGACCGGCCACACUGGGACUGAGACACGGCCCAGACUCCUACGGGAGGCAGCAGUGGGGAAUAUUGCACAAUGGGCGGAAGCCUGAUGCAGCGACGCCGCGUGAGGGAUGACGGCCUUCGGGUUGUAAACCUCUUUCAGCAGGGAAGAAGCGUGAGUGACGGUACCUGCAGAAGAAGCGCCGGCUAACUACGUGCCAGCAGCCGCGGUAAUACGUAGGGCGCAAGCGUUGUCCGGAAUUAUUGGGCGUAAAGAGCUCGUAGGCGGCUUGUCGCGUCGGAUGUGAAAGCCCGGGGCUUAACCCCGGGUCUGCAUUCGAUACGGGCAGGCUAGAGUGUGGUAGGGGAGAUCGG